UCUUGCCCUCAUGUUUAGUUUUGCUGGUGCUUAGUCUUCUCUGCCCGUAUGUCCCUCUGUCUGUCCAUGGUGUCUUGUCUGGUCCUGUGUCUGUUAGUUUUCUGUUUUAUUCUGAAGGUCCUUGUCUUACGUAUGUUCAGUUUACGUUUCCCCUGCCUCGUCAGUUGUGAUUUUCCCCAGGUGAGUUUCCCUCCUGUCUCUCAUCCCUUGAUUACUGCCUCAGUGUAUUUAAGCCCUGUGUUUUCCUGUGCUCACUGUCGCGUCGUUAACGUCUUCUGCCCUCACUCCCUGUGUGUUCUGUUUGCCGUCAUGCCAGUCUAGUUGUUUUUCAGUAUAGUUAGUUUUCUGUUCGGUAACUCCUGCAAUAAAGCUGUUUGUUUGGAAUUCACUUUCGCUUCCGUGAGUCCUGCAUCUUGGGUCCUUCCUCUCUGUCUGCCUGCACACAGCCGAGACAUGACAGGCACGCUAUGGAGAAACUGGACGAAAUAACAAUUGCCACCCUGAAAGAAGCAAAUGUUGGAGAAGACCUGCUCUCAUCACUUUCACGAGAGGACAUCAAAGAUCUGUUUCCUGGUCCUGAACAUUUCCUCAGGCGUCGGGCUCUAUGGCUUGUAGUGCACAAAUGUGAAGAAAACAAGACUGCUGCUGAAAAAACGCUAACAACUACUGGAGAUGGUGACUUCUCCAGAGAGGAACCCAACCCUUCUAAGUUUGUGACUAUGUCCAACCCAGAGUACAUAGUCUUCACAGACAGUGAACUUGAGCAAGCUCGACGUUCCUACUUUGAAAAGAAGCGGCUGGGGACAGAGUGUGCUGAACCUUUGUCAAAGGAACUCUUUUGUCGACUCGUAAGAAACACCAUGACAAACAUGAUUUCGAUAGCAAGAGCAGCUGAGGACUCCAGAUACCCCAGCAAACAUGAGGUUGAUGCCAUGGCAAAGCGAUUAAUGGAGUACUACCCAAUGCUUAAAGAAAUGUGUGGUGAGUGGGAGCAUGUUGCUAAAAAGCUAAUGAAGAGACUCUCCAAUGUCAAAAGUCCAAGGAAGGGCAAAAAACCUCCUGCGAAGAAGCCAAGAAAGGAUGGGAAUGAAAGCGUUGCAAAAAGUGACAGCAGUGGGGAGUCCAGUGCAUCAACUAUUAUUCUAGAUCAAUCACCAUUUAGAUCGAUGGGCACCCCAGUGCACUACCAGGAUGGCAGUGAUGAAGAAUGUAAGUGUUACGGCUGUGGCCAUAAGAUCUCUGUGUGGGCUGUUUUGUUCUGUCUCUUUACUGUGCUUAAGACUCUUUGCAGGUCCCUCCCCUAAUGAAGAGUAGUGAGCAGCUGAUUGGACCGUGGAACACGUGACCGCGUUCAAAAAGCCGUUCUGACAGCUCCCGCCGGGAAGAGAGAGAGAGAGAGAGAGAGAGAAGCGAGCGAGCAAGCAGUUUGACAGCCGACGCGGUCCUGGCCCUGGUUUCCAGCCUAUACUUUUGCUGUGUGUUUGUGUGAGCGUGUUCUGUGAGAGCCGCUCCCCGUGUGUUAACUUAGUGCUUAGGCACCCAUAGGCUGAAGCGGAAGGGCUGGUUCAGCUGACUUCUUUGACAGCCACAAAACCCAGGCAAGACACUACAAGACACUUCAAGAAAUAUACAAGACCAAAAAACAGAACAAAGCUGCUGUUACCCAACUGCUGAACCUGGAGUUUGAGUCUAGAAGACAAUUCAUUAACUCUGAUGCUAUAAAGGAGCAGGACAGAGCGGUGAAGAUACUAGAGGCAUAUCCUUGUUUCAGAGAACUGGAUCAUGUCCUUGAUGAGCUGCGGAGAAUUAUUCAACCAUCCAACUUGAAAUACAUAUCGGAGAUGAAGGAUAGAUAGGAAAUCUUCUACUCGAAGGUGCAGUUUUAUGGUGUCAUGAAGAAAGUUAUGAAGCCGCCAAAAACUUUGGAUGGAGUGGAACAUGCAGCAGCCCUUCCCAUGCUUUUCCCUUCCAGCACAGUACCACCUAAGAAGCUGGGCAUCUGUAGUGAGGCUUUUUUCCAUGUCCUAAAGGGAAGGCUGCCAUAGUCUAUGUGUAUAUAUUGUUGAAUUUUGCAGUUACUCAUGUAUUCAUUUUAUAUAUUUUACUGUGGAGGCAGUCAAAUAUUCUUAAAGUUCAGAUCCCCAUAACAUGUUGAUGUUAAUAAAACCUACAAAAAAAGUUGAUCUAUUUUAAACUGUAAUGCAACUCAAAAAUUGUUUCUUACGGUAUUGUUCUAAUCCUCUUUUUUCUGUCAUGUAGACUUCAGAAGACCCUGAAGGCUACCUGCGUCAGCGACCCCUGGCUUGUCCAGUUCUGCUUGUCUCUGAAGGCAACUGCAUGAUAGCUGUUGGAACCACACCGGUGAGCACUUUUGACCGGAAGGAUCUUAAUGAGGGACUGCUCUAUCUGAUGGCAUAUUACUAUGCCCUCCACCUCACAUAUCCAAAGUGCAUUUCCAUGCUGCUGUCUGUCUUGCAAACUGAAAUACUCAAAGACUCCAUCCAUGACCGAGAUUCAACCCCCUCUUACAGGAAGGCUCUUGGUGAGUGGAAGUCAUUCAUUGAGUGAGUCCCUCAGAUGACAGACUCCAUCUGCCUUAUCAGACUCAGUGUUAGUCAGUGAGGUUGUUUUUUUUGUUUUUGUUUUUUUUUUCUCUAGAAAAGUUGUUCAAAUGUAAAACACAUGUUUGUUUGUGUGGUCGUUAAACUUGUUCUUCUAAAAUGUUAUGUAAUAUAGGAUUUGAAAUAGUGAUUGUUUUAAGCUUCAGCAAAAUUUAUUUUUGAUACCAGCCAUGUUAUACUGUUAUUAUUCAUGUUAAGAGUAUCUGGAAUAUGCACUUCUUAUAUUGGCCAUGUUACACAGUACCCUGCUGAAAUGUAGGUCAUUUUAGACAUGAUUCUCCUGGAACAGACCUCAGUGAGUUACUGACCCAUUGCUGUGUCAAUAAAAGCGCAAAAACGCGCUUUUUCUGUCUUAAUUUAAGAUGAAUUCCCUUAUUUUUAGUAGCUUUUUG
ensembl:lncRNA